UACAGAGGGUGCAAGCGUUGUUCGGAAUUACUGGGCGUAAAGCGAGUGUAGGCGGCUUAUUAAGUCAGAUGUGAAAUCCCUUGGCUCAACUGAGGAACUGCAUCUGAUACUGGUAAGCUUGAGUGUCGGAGGGGAUGGUAGAAUUCCUGGUGUAGAGGUGAAAUUCGUAGAUAUCAGGAGGAAUACCUGUGGCGAAGGCGACCAUCUGGAAGACAACUGACGC
rnacentral:rRNA from 1 species